rnacentral:tRNA from 1 species
CUCUCGGUAGCCAAGUUGGUUUAAGGCGCAAGACUGUAAAUCUUGAGAUCGGGCGUUCGACUCGGUUCGACUCGCCCCCGGGAGA